UGUGGAUCCAGGCAAAUUACCAGAACAUAUGGUCUCCAUAAACAGCUCAGAUAAACGUAUCACGCCUGUCAGACACAUGUGACUUUGCUCUGGGCACCUUGUGUGCUGGAUCCUCUCUACUGCCUGAAAUCAAGCAAUGCCUGGCUGCAAGAGGAUCUCAGCAGUACAGAUGGGACUCAAGUCACCAGUUAUCUCCCUCAAAGAGCAGCCCAGGACUGAUGGACAGACAGGCUGGCCAGGGUGAGGAACAAAGGGUGGACAUUGCAGAGAAGGUUGGGUGGAAGCAGGGGAUGGAGAUGCAUUAGUGGUUAUUGCAAUUCUCCUAGCAAGACGAACAUUUUCUUCCUUUGGAGGAAGAAAAAUGUGCUAUUUGUCAUUUCAGAAUGGGUGGCCUUCAGCUUUGUGAUUGGAGGACAUGUGUCUAUGGAGGCCAUCUAUCUUCUGGCUUGAAAGACCGUUGUUUUCUUGGGAAUUUGACCAUGUCCAUUAUUGUGGGAGAAGAUCCAGAGCUACACUCUAAAAGGGCAUGGGCAGCAUGAGACUCCAGGGCUGAGGACCCCAAAUGGAGAUGAUCACCAUCUGGGCAAUUCCAAUUAGCAAAUCUUGUUUUGUGUCAACAUUGUAUAGGUGAGGAAUUGGAGAGACUCACCCCUUCUUGGUGAGAACGAAUGUUCCCGGACCCACCGUCGAUAGAACAAUCCAUCAAGGUGUCUGCUGACCACCAGUACGUGACGGUCGACCACUAACCUUUGUUCCUUUUUUUGUACAUCUACAUGUUAACCUCCCCCUCAACCCCCUAUAAAACAGCCUCGGACUCUGAGCCAGUUGCCUCUCUUAGCUAUUUUGCUUUGGGAGUGCCGUCUGGCCAGACUAAUAAAGGUCUGUUUUAUUUUCCAACUUGUCCGGUGUGUUCCUUCCCGGGUGUUCAUCGCUGCAGUCAGCUCCUCAGAGCGUUUGGUUCUCACAACCGUCACUCCUGUCCGACGCCUCGUUCCUGUACAACAUGGAGCCCAUGGGCCUUGAGGGUCCCUGAGCGCUCUGCCAGUGGCCUCUGCUGGGUUCCCUAGCGCUGCUGCUACAGCCGGUAACCUGUGCCCAAGCCACACCGGGCACCCUCAGCACCACGACCACACCAGACACCACUGGCUCUGAGACCACACUUCCAGGGUCCUGGGGCUACGAGAACGUGCUCGGGCCCUGAUGCGGGACUUCCCACUGGUGGGUGUGUAGGUGUCAUGUGGGGACAAAUGGGGGUUCCAAUGGGCAGAAGAGGGUUCCAAGCAUGCAGGGCUAUCAUGUAAGACCGAGGGCCUUACCAAACGCUCCGAGGAGCUGACUGCAGCGAAGAACACCCGGGGAUCCCAGCGGGGCCUAGGGGCCUCCAAAAUGUAAGACCGAGGGCCUUACCAAACGCUCCGAGGAGCUGACUGCAGCGAAGAACACCCGGGAAGGAACACACUGAACAUGUUGGAAAGUAAAACAGACCUUAGUCUGGCCAGGACGGCACUCCCAAAGCAAAGUAGCUUAGAGAGGCGACUAGCCCAGAGUCCGAGGCUCUUUUUAUAGGGGGUUGCAGGGGAAGUUAACAGGCGAAAUUUACAGAAGAGAAACAAAGCCACAAAGACCUGCCCUUGGUCCUGAGGCAAUUUUACCAGGAUUCACUACAGAAUGUCAACCUUCGCAAUUUCAGCCAUGGCCAGACCAGCCUAGACAAGCUUAGAGAUGGCCUCGUGGGUGCUCAGGUACUACAGGGACACAGAGGGUGACUGUGGUUAGCCACAGGGAACUCACUUACCAUAAUAAUGACCCGAAAAGAUGCUGGACCAGCGAGGGCUACAGCCAGCUGGCUUGGUGGGCAGGACAGUACUAUAGAACCAGCAAUGCAUUACAUGUGGCCUCCAGGCCCACUGGGUGCUGUGGCAGCUGUGGAGGCCCCAGGAAUUCCAAAAUAGCCCCUGCCAGGCCAACCCCUGACUUUCCCCCCAGUUCUGGUCAGCUUCACGUCCCAUGUCAGACCCAGAACUGGGAUGCUGUGCACCUCACCCUGGAGCAGAUAGACCUCAUCUGCCGCAUGUGUGCCUCCUACUCUGAGCGGGAGCUGGUGACCUCAGCUGAAGCUCUGAACAGCACCCAGAAAUUGGCCUGCCUCAUUGGUGUGGAGGGUAGCCACUCGCUGGACAGUAGCCUCUCCAUCCUGCAUACCUUCUAUGUGCUGGGAGUGCGCUACCUCAUGCUUACACACACCUGCAACACACCCUGAUGUCUGCAUAUGCAUCCCUGACACCCUCCUCCCAACCUGUCCCUGCAGAAGGUGGUAACAGAAAUGAAUUGCCUGGGCAUGAUGGUAGACUUGUCUCAUGUUUCUGAUCCUGUGGCCCGGAGGGCCUUGGAAGUGUCACAGGCACCUGUGAUCUCCUCAAACUCAGCUGUCCAAGGUAUGUGCAACAACACUCGGAAUGUUCCUGAUGACAUCCUGCAGCUUCUGGUGAGAAACUGCCCAGCCUCAGAACCUAAAGCAAGAGUUUCAAACUUGAGCUCCUGUUCCCUUGACUUCCUCAGACCCCCAGCUAAACAUCUUCUGCCCCACAAACCCACAGUGCUGAACCCUUGAAUCCAGUGGGUGUAAGGAGGUGGUUCUAGAUGAUAAAUAUUUCUCUACCUCUCAAACCCAAAGCCAAACACCUCCAACCUGGCCUGAGACUCCCCUAUUCACACAAACUCAGAAAGGUGAAAUAUCUCCUGGCUUCCAAAAUCAGGGCUCACAUGGCUCUGGGGGUAGGCAAGGACCCAAGAUGAGUGUUCAUUUGACUAUUCCUGCAGGAGAAGAACGGUGGCAUUGUGAUAGUGUCCUUGUCUGUAGGGGUGCUGCAGUGCAACCUGUUAGCCAAUGUGUCCACUGUAGCAGGUGAGCCCUCGUGCUCUCUGAACAGCUCUGAUUUGGACCUGAAGCUUUGGUGGGGGGGUCUCGGCACAGCUCCAGGAGUCUGACCAAAAAUCUCAUGAUGGACAGACAUUACAGAGCACCUUGGUGUUAUGUAGAACCAGAGCCACAGAGUCCACAUCGCCACGCUGAUGGGGAUGGGAAAGGAGCCAGAUAUAGAGCUGAGUGCUGACCCCGUGUGCCCCCUAGGGGGCUACCAAAGCACCCUACCUCCGCCUUAGGUCUCUGGAGUCUGUCAGCUGCACUUUUUAUCCCUCUUUCGUCUUCCACACAACUGGAAAGAGGCCCUACUAAGUUCCCAAAGAGACUGAAGGCAGGGUGAAUCUGGAGGGGAAAUGACCCCAAUGGCUGUCAUUCUAAAUGGGCUCACUCCAGACUUGAAGUCCAGUCUAGAGCUAGCUGGGAUCAGUUAAAGACAAACCUCAGAGACUUCAGAUAGCCACACAAGGCAUGGGCAAUGAAGGAACUGGCCUGCUGGGUACAAGCAGAGUCCAGAUUGAGGGCACCCCUGUCCAAGAAACCCCAUACUACUCUCCAUCUCCCAGAUCACUUUGACCACAUCAAAGCAGUUAUCGGGUCCAAAUUCAUCGGGAUUGGUGGAGAUUAUGAUGGCACCAGCCAGUGAGUACUGCCCUGUGGCUUAUCUGGGGCUGCUUUGAAGGCACCACCCACCCUACCAUGGUCCUCAUAGCCUUUAGACCUUAGCCACCCAGCAUCUCCCAUUCUCAGGGUCUGUUUCCUCCAAUCUCCUGUCUGCCUUCAGCCCAGUCUCCCUACUCUAAGGCAUCAUAUUUAGCCAAGCCACCAGACAACUCAUCUGCCCAGUCCAUGCACCCAGCCCAGCCCCAGCAGAUUGUCAACAAUGUCUGGUGUAAGCUGACCAUCUUCUCUGCCCAGUUCUGAAGAUGGAGGGGAGGUGCAUUCAGCGGAAGGUAUAGAUCUUAAAAGUGCAGUUCAGUGACUUUUGGCAAAUAUUCAAGGAGGUUUUGGAGCCUCCUCUGAAGGGUGCAGAGCAGGGGCAAAUCACUUGCUGUCUCCAAGUCUCCAGUUCACACAUCUGACGGGGGCUGGAGUACAAACCACCAGGACACACAGGGCUGGGACUCUGAGUUGGGAUCAGGGUACCAACUCAGAGAACCAUCUGCUGGUGGCCACACAGGUUCCCUGAGGGGCUGGAGGAUGUGUCCACAUACCCUGUGCUGAUAGAGGAGCUGCUGAGUCGGGGCUGGAGUGAGGAGGAGCUUCAAGGUGUGCUUUGAGGAAACCUGCUUCGGGUCUUCAGGCGAGUGGAGCAGGUUGGGGAGGAAAACAAGUGGCAAAGCCCACUGGAGGAUAAGGUCCCAGAGGAACAGCUGGACAGGGGUUGCCGCUCUAUCCUCCCACAUCAGCAUCAGAGACCACAACUGGUUCCAAACCAGACUCCAACCAAAAGCCCAUCACAUCUAGCGCCUAUGUUAUCUCACAGGUGGUCAUCCUCAAAAUCUUCCCCCAGCCUGGUCUCAGGCCUCACAGUGGUUACCAUUUUCUGACCCAGUUAGCCCUGCCAGAUGUCACUUUGGCAGCCUUGGACAGCCCACAAAGGUCCCUCCUUGUGCAGAUACAAACAUUUCCUGGAAAUAAAUGUUUUGGACAUGGA
rnacentral:lncRNA from 1 species